rnacentral:ncRNA from 1 species
ACAACGACAAGGCAACACUAUAGAAAUAUAGUUGCGCAAAGCUAUAGGGGCUAAGGUGGUUUCCACUAAGCCAGCCAGUUACCGAA